rnacentral:rRNA from 1 species
UAACCUACCCAUCAGAGGGGGAUAACACUUGGAAACAGGUGCUAAUACCGCAUAACAGUUUAUGCCGCAUGGCAUAAGAGUGAAGGCGCUUUCGGGUGUCGCUGAUGGAUGGACCCGCGGUGCAUUAGCUAGUUGGUGAGGUAACGGCUCACCAAGGCCACGAUGCAUAGCCGACCUGAGAGGGUGAUCGGCCACACUGGGACUGAGACACGGCCCAG